CUCGUAGGCGGCCAACUAAGUCAGACGUGAAAUCCCUCAGCUUAACUGGGGAACUGCGUCUGAUACUGGAUGGCUUGGAUUCGGGAGAGGAAUGCGGAAUUCCAGGUGUAGCGGUGAAAUGCGUAGAUAUCUGGAGGAACACCGGUGGCGAAGGCGGCAUUCUGGACCGAUAUUGACGCUGAGGAGCGAAAGCCAGGGGAGCAAAC
rnacentral:rRNA from 1 species